rnacentral:misc_RNA from 1 species
GAUGAAGAACGCAGCGAAAUGCGAUAAGUAGUGUGAAUUGCAGAAUUCAGUGAAUCAUCGAAUCUUUGAACGCACAUUGCGCCCCUUGGUGUCCCGAGGGGCAUGCCUGUUCGAGCGUCAUUUCACCACUCAAGCCUGGCUUGGUGUUGGGCGACGUCCUCUUUGGGGACGCGCCUCGAAACGCUCGGCGGCGUGGCACCGGCUUUAAGCGUAGCAGAAUCUUUCGCUUUGGAAGUCGGGGCCCCGUCUGCCGGAAGACCUGCUCGCAAGGUUGACCUCGGAUCAGGCAGGGAUACCCGCUGAACUUAAGCAUAUCAAUAAGCGGAGGA